GAUAUUGUCAAAUCACUCGUUGAGUCGUUGGUGGAGUGACAGUGUGUCCACUUUGUUAAGCCAAAGAUAAAUAAUCAAUAAAUCUUAAAAGUGCAUUGUAAAUUGUUGCUUUCUACGUAAAUAGCACAAAAUGGGUCGUACCUGUGAUAUCAUUGGAUGCACAAAUUCAAAUUACAAGACGGAAAAAUUAAGCUAUCACAGUUUACCAUCAAAUGAACUUUUGAGAGGAAAAUGGCUAGAAGCCAAUAGUGCAAAUGGAGGAUUUCGGCAGUCUAAAACGAGAAAGAAAGCGCACAACUGCGACAACACAUAUAUUUGUGGGGAACAUUUUUCAGAAGACUGCUACAUUCCGACAUCAAAGCAGAAACAUCUAAAACCUACCGCUGUCCCAACAUUCCCUCCAACAAAGAAACAAAAGUGUAUAGAAAACAACAGUUUAGAUGAUGCUACAGAAGGUUAUGUUCACAAGAGUGAAAGCCCAUUUCAAGGGACACCUGAAAAAUAAGCGAGCUUCUAAAUCAACUGUUGCAGACGGCACAACUAAACCAAAAUUCUUCGUCAACGUAAAUUUGUUUAUGCCAAAAAACAGUGCAGGAAGAAUUCAUCCCGUUAACGCUAUUUCGUUUGCCCUGACAACGCAGGAUACGAAUUAGGCCUACAGGUAAUCUAAAAUUGAGCGAAGAUGGUAGACAAGAGUAGCAACGCAGAAGCUGCUCACCUCUGGAAGGCGUUGAGCGAAGAUGAAAUCAAAACUAAUUUUGAUGCUGAAAGACUUGGAAACCAUGCUUUCGACCAUGUCGAGAAGCUGAGUAACAUUCUGCUUUUACAAUGGCACCUCUUAAUAAAAGGAACUUAAGCCAUCCAAUCUAGGGCUUCCAUCAAAUCGUGCAGGCUGCAUGGAAGUCGCAUUUACCUUUGCUGUGAACAUCAUGAACACAUACACUAUUUGAAGGUUCAUGUUUACGUAAUACGUAGCAGUGCUGGUGUUGCUGUCCAAUGUGGCGUGUUGUUGCAGCCUAUGGUGGUGAAAGAUAUCUACAUCAAGUUGCUGUUCCUUGUGCAUCCAAGGUGCUGGUUUUGUGCUACAGAAGUGACAUCCAAUAUUGUGUUUAAUUGCUAUUUGUGUCUUUGCAGUUAACCUUUAUUUGAGAAGGAACAAAAAAAAAAUAGUAAUAUGGGGAGGUUUAUGUCAAACAAAUAAUAAACAUGUCCAGGAUGGGGGAAUGAGGAGGAAGUGGGGGUGGGGUAUUUGGUUAUGAUUUACUAAAAAAAAGUGAGGAAUAAUUUAAUGAAUAUGAAGUACUUGGUGAUAAAAUCUGUUGUUAACCUAUACCUUCCUGUCAACCUAUACCUUCCCCACUUCCACUUACACUUCCAUUCCCCAAACCUCAUAAGCACCAACAUCAAAUCCCACAUCCACUCACAUCAAUUCCUAAAACCCCCUAAUCUCCAACAUCAAAUUACACAAUUUUUGUAGAUCUGUAAUCACAUUUAUAUUUAAUUAAAUAAAAGACCAUCGCAGAUAAAUUUU